UGGAAGGGAGGGAAAUACCAAAAAUAGAAAAAGCUUGGGGGCAGUUGUCAGGCAACAAACAAGAAGCUAAGAAAAAUUUACGUUAUAACUUUUGUAAAGAUAUGGUUGCUCGCUCGGUGGUAUUUAUUGUAGAAAAAAUGUAUGAAUAAUGUCGCUCUACUCAGCAAACAGAGAACUAAAAUUAACGGGUUUACUAUAGUAGAAUGUAAUUAUCCAGCUCCGCGCUGUCACGGAGUUUUAUUGUUGUGGUGGAUCUCAUGCGGGCGAGUCAUCAACAAAACGUUAACUUAAUCACGAUGAAGAAUUAUAAUGUUCUGGACUGGCAACCUGAACAUUUAUAACUGCCACUAGUGAUCAUUGAUCAAUAAUUAAAAUAAAAGAUCUUGGAGUGGAGAGAAAAAAUCAAAAGCCAGAGAGAAGAAAAUACAUCGGAGAAUCAUGUUGAAGAAGUUACUUUAACUGUGAAUUUUCGUAGUACCUCGACAGGCCUCAACGGACCGAAGCGUAUUGGCUCAAGUAAUAAGAAGUUUUUCUACUGUGAAAUUUGCUCCACAAGAUUCACUUUAUGUCACAAUAUGAAAAGGCAUAUAAAAGAAUGCCACAAUGCUGAACGAAGAUAUAGCGCAGCGGCAACUUGUAGUGAGUGUGGUCAGAAUCUAUCGAAUCAGUCCUCAUUAAGAAGACAUACACUGCGUUACCACCGUCGAUUCUUAAAAUAAAAACGGAAUAAAGGAUGACGACAAAAUCCAUCAAAUAAUAUAUAUCAGUCAAAUCCCGUUACAUGUUCACUUUUUUACUCUUAAACCUCAGACAUGUUAAUAUUUUUCGUCAGCUAUAAAAGGAGAUCAUGCUCACCAGUAUCACCUCUUUUGUAACUUUCUCUAUAUAUUGUUGACUGCAGCACAAAUUGUGAUGCAUAUGCGACUGU